AAAUUAUAUAAAAUAAAAUGACAUACUACCAGAUAAAAUCCUCUAGAAUAAACAUGGAUGGGUGGGGUAAAGGUAUCAAAGUGCUAAACUUGCUGCAGCUAGCCAAAGCAUACAAUGGCAGAAUGAAUACCCAGACCGAAGCACUAAUCACAAGGCACGAAACAACCCCCUUUGAUUGAUAUGACAUCACAGACUCCCCUCAUAAUACAUCCUUUCCCCUG